UGGUCCUUCGAGCCGGAUCAGAAAUAUCAGAACUGUUAUCUGUGACUCUGUUCCAAGGAUCCAGAACUGAUUCCUGACGCCGUGGGAAGCCAGCACCGAAGUCUGUGCACAGCCCUCUUAGACGAGGCCGAAAGCCCUGGGACGUUUAAAUUCGGGUCCAGGCCGGUGUUUUUAGUCUGGUCCACGGCGGUGGGAUUCAGUCUGACGAUCCGAAUCACCAGUGAGACGUCUGAGGGUGAGAGAAACACUAUUUUGUAAAACGGCCACGAAGGUUUUAAGAAACGCGUAAAAUAAAAUGAUAAAAUAGGUUAAGUUCGCCAAAAGGCCAAAAGAACUAAGUUUAGACCAGUUUCAGAGGUAGCCGAAAUUAUCUCGUGACAAAUUAUUAAAGAAACGCGUAAAAUAGGUUAAGUUCGCCAAAAAGAACUAAGUUUAGACCAGUUUUAGAGGUAGCCGAAAUUAUCUCGUGACAAAUUAUUUAAGAAACGCGUAAAAUAGGUUAAGUUCGCCAAAAGGCCAAAAGAACUAAGUUUAGACCAGUUUCAGAGGUAGCUGUUAAAUACUUCGUAACAAAUUAGCGCGCAAAUGUCUAUCUGUGUGUAUGUGUGUAUGUGUCUAGAAGUAAGUUGAUUUUACAGCACAAUACGCUGCUGAACUACUUCUAUUUUAUUUGUUUUCUUUGCUGAGGCUCACGUACUGGUGACAAAGGAGAACGGUUGGGUUUCAUCUCAUAAAACUGGUACCGCUUCACCUAUAGGGUGAAGUCGAAGGCCGUAUCAGUAAACCACUCCGAAGUCAGGCGUGCCAAUGACAGCCCAGCAAAAUCUUUGACAAUGGGGAAUAAACAAGCAAAAUUAACACCUGAUGAGGAAUAUUUAGAAAAACAACAAACCGGAGCAGGUAGAAUAAGUGCAAAUAGGUGGAGAAAUCCACAAAAAGCUAAAAACCACAGCUGGGAAGGGAAAUGCAAUCCCUCAGCUGUUACCCAGCUGAAAGCUGUCCUGAAACAAGAAAUUACAUUAACAAAAGACCCAAAGAA